rnacentral:ncRNA from 1 species
ACCCUCCAUGUCUUGGGGAGCAAAAUGUCCAAUGAUCGUUAAGUGAGGACAUUGUUGCUGACACCAUUUAUUAUAAUCUAUAGCGUACUUAUAUUUUUAAAGAU